AUCUAAGCAAACACUGACAAGACUUCAAAAUAGAUACUAUAUUUAAGGAAAUAUUAAAAGCAAGUAAAUACUGUAAGAUAUCGGAGCAGACAACGGUUCGAUUGCUUACUCAAAUAUAAGUGAGAAAGUACCCCUUCCACAAUGAUGACCAGCAAUUUAUUUUAUAAGAAAAGCUUGAAACGUUGUGUGCCACCAGACUGGCCGGAAGAAGAUGAGUAUCCGAUCAAGAGAUUCAAGCCAAACUCAUGGAUUGAGGGCAAUCAGCAAGCGGACGACAUUGGUGGAAUACUAGAUUUAAAGUUGACUGAGCUGGUCUUUAUCGAAAACAUAGAAAUAAUAAUGGCAAAAAAGGUUCCAAGCUGUCCGAACUUGCAAAACCUUAAUAACAAUUCUUAGAUUUAUUAGCUUUGGCUUCAAUUCAUAUUCUUUUUCUAAAUUUGUUUGCAGUUACUGUUUUAAAAAUUCUUUUAGUAAAAAAUAAAAAAAAAUGUCAGUACGUAACAAUCAAAA